CAACAUGGACAUGAGGACCUCUGCUCAGCUCCUAGGGCUCCUGCUGCUCUGGUUCCCAGGUGCCAGAUGUGAUAUUCAGAUGACCCAGUCUCCAUCCUCCCUAUCUGCAUCUCUGGGAGACACAGUGACUAUCACAUGCCGGGCAAGUCAGGGCAUUAGCAAUAACUUAAACUGGUAUCAGCAGAAACCAGGUGAAACUACCAAACUCCUGAUCUACUAUACAAACAGAUUAGAAUCCGGAGUCCCAUCGAGGUUCAGUGGCACUGGAUCAGGGACAGAUUAUUCUCUGACCAUCAGCAAGCUGGAGUCUGAAGAUGCUGGAAUUUAUUACUGUCAAGAGGGUUAUAGUACCCCUCCCACAGUGAUACAAGUCAUAACAUAA